AUUUAUUUAGCUCAGUUGGUUAGAGCGCUGCACCGGAAUCGCAGGGCCGUAGGUUCAAUUCCUACCAGAGGACC
rnacentral:tRNA from 1 species